rnacentral:rRNA from 1 species
UACAGAGGUCUCAAGCGUUGUUCGGAUUCAUUGGGCGUAAAGGGUGCGUAGGCGGCGCGGUAAGUCGGAUGUGAAAUCUCGGAGCUUAACUUCGAAACUGCAUUCGAUACUGCCGUGCUUGAGGACUGGAGAGGAGACUGGAAUUUACGGUGUAGCGGUGAAAUGCGUAGAUAUCGCAGAAGGAAGACCAGUGGCGAAGGCGGGUCUCGUGGACAGUUCCUGACGCUGAGGCACGAAGGUCAGGGGAGCAAACGGGG